CCCGCUGAACUUAAGCAUAUCAAUAAGCGGAGGAAAAGAAACUAACAAGGAUUCCCCUAGUAACUGCGAGUGAAGCGGGAAGAGCUCAAAUUUGAAAUCUGGCGGCUUCGCCGUCCGAGUUGUAUUCUGGAGAAGCGUUUUCCGUGCUGGACCGUGUACAAGUCCCUUGGAACAGGGCGUCGUAGAGGGUGAGAAUCCCGUCUUUGACACGGACUGCCAGUGCUCUGUGAUGCGCUCUCGAAGAGUCGAGUUGUUUGGGAAUGCAGCUCAAAAUGGGUGGUAAAUUCCAUCUAAAGCUAAAUAUUGGCGAGAGACCUAUAGCUAACAAGUACCGUGAGGGAAAGAUGAAAAGCACUUUGGAAAGAGAGUGAAACAGUACGUGAAAUUGUUGAAAGGGAAACGCUUGAAGUCAGUCGCGUCUUCUGGAACUCAGCCGUGCUUUUGCUAGGCGCAUUUUCCAGUUUGACGGGUCAGCAUCGGUUUCGGUGGGCAGACAAAGGCGCAGGGAAGGUGGCCGCUCCGGUGGUGUUAUAGCCCUGCGUUGUAUGUGCCCGCUGGGACCGAGGAAUCCGGCUCGCGCCUGGGAUGCUAGCGUAAUGGCUCUAAGCGACCCGUCUUGAAACACGG
rnacentral:rRNA from 1 species